GAUGAACGCUGGCGGCGUGCCUAAUACAUGCAAGUCGAGCGAACGGACGAGAAGCUUGCUUCUCUGAUGUUAGCGGCGGACGGGUGAGUAACACGUGGAUAACCUACCUAUAAGACUGGGAUAACUUCGGGAAACCGUAGCUAAUACCGGAUAAUAUUUUGAACCGCAUGGUUCAAAAGUGAAAGACGGUCUUGCUGUCACUUAUAGAUGGAUCCGCGCUGCAUUAGCUAGUUGGUAAGGUAACGGCUUACCAAGGCAACGAUGCAUAGCCGACCUGAGAGGGUGAUCGGACACACUGGAACUGAGACACGGUCCAGACUCCGACGGGAGGCAGCAGUAGGGAAUCUUGCGCGAUGGGCGAAAGCCUUACGGAGCAACGCCGCGUGAGUGAUGAAGGUCUUCGGAUCGUAAAACUCUGUUAUUAGGGAAGAACAUAUGUGUAAGUAACUGUGCACAUCUUGACGGUACCUAAUCAGAAAGCCACGGCUAACUACGUG
rnacentral:rRNA from 1 species